AACAGCUCAAAUUUGAAAUCUGGCCCCCAGGGCCCGAGUUGUAAUUUGCAGAGGAUGCUUUUGGCGCGGUGCCUUCCGAGUUCCCUGGAACGGGACGCCAUAGAGGGUGAGAGCCCCGUCUGGUCGGACGCCUAGCCUGUGUAAAGCUCCUUCGACGAGUCGAGUAGUUUGGGAAUGCUGCUCUAAAUGGGAGGUAUAUGUCUUCUAAAGCUAAAUACCGGCCAGAGACCGAUAGCGCACAAGUAGAGUGAUCGAAAGAUGAAAAGCACUUUGAAAAGAGGGUUAAAUAGUACGUGAAAUUGUUGAAAGGGAAGCGCUUGUGACCAGACUUGGGCCCGGUGGAUCAUCCAGCGUUCUCGCUGGUGCACUCCGCCGGGUUCAGGCCAGCAUCAGUUCGCCGCGGGGGAAAAAGGCUUCGGGAACGUGGCUCCUACGGGAGUGUUAUAGCCCGUUGCAUAAUACCCUGGGGCGGACUGAGGUUCGCGCUCCGCAAGGAUGCUGGCGUAAUGGUCAUCAGCGACCCGUCUU
rnacentral:rRNA from 1 species